rnacentral:rRNA from 1 species
GAUGAACGCUGGCGGCGUGCCUAAUACAUGCAAGUCAAACGCUUCACUUCGGUGAAGAGUGGCGAACGGGUGAGUAAUACAUAAGUAACCUGGCAUCUACAGGGGGAUAACUGAUGGAAACGUCAGCUAAGACCGCAUAGGUGUAGAGAUCGCAUGAACUCUAUAUGAUAAGUGCUACGGGACUGGUAGAUGAUGUCAUUAUGGCGCAUUUGCUGGUUGGUAGGGUAACGGCCUACCAAGGCGACGAUGCGUAGCCGACCUGAGAGGGUGACCGGCCACACUGGGACUGAGACACGGCCCAGACUCCUACGGGAGGCAGCAGUAGGGAAUUUUCGGCAAUGGGGGAAACCCUGACCGAGCAACGCCGCGUGAAGGAAGAAGUAAUUCGUUAUGUAAACUUCUGUCAUAGAGGAAGAACGGUGGAUAUAGGGAAUGAUAUCCAAGUGACGGUACUCUAUAAGAAAGCCACGGCUAACUACGUGCCAGCCGCCGCUGUAACAC